rnacentral:tRNA from 1 species
GCGGAAAUAGCUCAGUUGGUAGAGCAUUACCUUGCCAAGGUAAGGGUCGCGAGUUCGAGUCUCGUUUUCCGCU